rnacentral:rRNA from 1 species
UACGUAGGGAGCAAGCGUUGUUCGGAUUUACUGGGCGUAAAGGGCGCGUAGGCGGCGCGGUAAGUCACUUGUGAAAUCUCUGAGCUUAACUCAGAACGGCCAAGUGAUACUGCAGUGCUAGAGUGCAGAAGGGGCAAUCGGAAUUCUUGGUGUAGCGGUGAAAUGCGUAGAUAUCAAGAGGAACCACUGAGGGGAAGAGGGGUUGCUGGGCUGACACUGGAGCUGAGUGCGCGAAAGCCAGGGGAGCAAACGGG